CGCGGAGGCUCUGAACCCAGCCAGGGAGAGGCAGGAGGGAGUCCCGCCCCUUGCCCUCCAUAUCGGACCAUAGGAACCCACUCAUUGGCUGCAGUGUUUGUCAGCGUCUGGAGGCUUCGAACCCACCAAGCAAAGACCCAGUGCAUCUGUGCGUUGCACAGUCGCAUCUGUGAAUCCCUGCAUCCCUCCUGCCCUGCCUGCCAAGACUGAUGUGCAGCUUUUCUACCAUCACAUACCGAUUCAUACAGAAUCACAUCUGCAUAGAACUGCAAUGAACUUCUCCGUCAUCCAUUACCAUCUUCAGCAAGGUAUGGAUCUUAGCCUGGUGGUAGAAUGUGAAGAUGAGGACCUCAUCCAGGUUUCUUCCUUCCUUGGGUGCUCUGCCUCAGCCCUAGAGGCUGCCCCUUAUAUCUGCUGUAAUUGUAUUCUUUAGAGUUUUCUUUUCCCUUUACUAGGUAAUCCCCUCUUACACAUAGUAUUUUUUUAUAUUAAAAUAUCCUUGUCCAAA